GCGGAGGUGCCGGAGCGGUCAAACGGGGUAGGCUUAGGACCUACUGGCUUAGUGCCUACGCAGGUUCGAAUCCUGUCCUCCGCA
rnacentral:tRNA from 1 species